GACGAACGCUGGCGGCGUGCUUAACACAUGCAAGUCGAGCGGAAAGGCCCUUCGGGGUACUCGAGCGGCGAACGGGUGAGUAACACGUGAGUAAUCUGCCCUUCACUCUGGGAUAGCCACCGGAAACGGUGAUUAAUACCGGAUAUGACCAAUCCCUGCACGGGGUGUUGGUGGAAACUUGUUUGGGUGGGGGAUGUGCUCGCGGCCUAUCAGCUUGUUGGUGGGGUAAUGGCCUACCAAGGCUUCAGCGGGUAGCCGGCCUGAGAGGGUGACCGGCCACACUGGGACUGAGACACGGCCCAGACUCCUACGGGAGGCAGCAGUGGGGAAUAUUGGACAAUGGGCGGAAGCCUGAUCCAGCAACGCCGCGUGAGGGAUGACGGCCUUCGGGUUGUAAACCUCUUUCAGCACCGACGAAGCGCAAGUGACGGUAGGUGCAGAAGAAGGACCGGCCAACUACGUGCCAGCCGCCGCCGUAACAC
rnacentral:rRNA from 1 species